AUGUGUAGGACAGACAGUGUUGACACCUGGGACAAAGGGAUAAUUUAUGUCCUGUACGUCUGCCCAGGGCGUAAAUCAUCCCUUCGUUCAGUGCAUUCCACAAAAUGGGACAGCACAAGAUUUCAUUACAGUCCUCAGAAAGAAAAAUGUAUCCAACAGGGAUGCCAAAAUGAGGAGCUUUUGGGAAACAAUCUACCCUCUGAUCAUGAAAACUCCUAACAUCGACUUUAAUAAGUUUUAAUCUUAUUUUUAUUGAUUAUAACUGUAGAGUUGGGUUGUAAUAUAGUUUGGCUAUUUGUCCCAUUCAAUUUGGCCCCACCCCCACAAUGUCAGAGGUGGAGCCUAGAGGAAGGUAUUUGUAUUACAGGGGCAGAUCCCUCAUGAAUAUUGUGGAACCCUUCCUGUGGUAAUGAGUGAGUUCUUACUCUACUAUAUCAUGUGAGAGCUGACAUGACAGCCUAAAAGAGCAUGGCAUCCCUUGUGCCUUCUCCUCCUGCCCCUUUCUCAUCCUGAGACAUGCCAGCUCCCCUUCCCCUUCUGCCAUGACUGGAAGCUCCCUGAAGCCCUCACCAGAAGCAGGUGCUGGUGUCAUGCUUCUUGCACAGCCUGUUGAACUGUGAGCCAAAUAAGCCUCUUGUCUUUAUAUAUUACACAGCCUCAGAUAUUGCUUUAUAACAACAUAAAACAGACUAAUACAGGUUGUGAAGAGUGUAAGUCUUACACACAAUGCAACUCACAACCCCAUUUUAAUCCCCAAAGGGCAAAAAACUCUCAGAGUCUCUAAGAGUCUGCACGACAGGGAGUCAGAGAGUCUUGGUUGACAGAUGUUUGAAGUCUGUUAAUUUAAUCUUGAAAGACAUAUUUAUAGAAAUAUUGAGCUCACUUUUAUUCUAGCUGAAUCAAAAUUGCAGAUGUUACUUGACAUAUUUCAAAUAGGAUUGUAGCUGAGCAUCCACCUGCAAUGUAAAAUGCCACCACGAGCAACACUUAGGUACAGCCUUCACCCAAGUGUAGGUUCUCCUCAUUGUCUCUCACUUCUCACUUUUUGAAUUCCUAUUCUCUUCAUAGGUUCUCUUCUUUUGUUCUGCAAUUUCUUCAUGAUUUGUUAAUUUGUUCAUGUAUUUAUUCAGCUAAUAAACAUUUUUAAACACCUGCUUUGUGCUCAGCAUGGGAUGAGACAUGAUCAUGAGAAUGAAUAGCUGAUGAAGGGAGAAGGUGAAAGUUGUUGAUGAUCAAGAAGCCCAAAAUGCUGAAUUUAUAGAAUAAAUACAAAAUAAAGCAGCACCAUUCAAAAUAUGGACUAUAUACUGGUACAAUGCAAGGUCAAUUCAGAAUUUGGAAGUAAGCUCCUAGAAACUUUUAUAGCACCUUGACAUGCUCCAAUAUCCAAGUGUGUGUGACUAAUGGACUCAUCUUGUUAAACAGGGUAUGGAUCAGUUUGGUGUGGUUGAAUUCACAUGGUUAGCUGCCUGUGACAUGAGCUAUGUACCAGUCAUGCAUGGUAAGAUUGCAUGUAAGUCCUCAAUUAUUCUUUAGAAGAAAGUUGAAGAAUUACUAGCUUACAAGCAAUACAGAACAACCCUUAGGCUGCAAGAUCUCUUUUACUCUCAACUAAUCCACAUUCCCUAAUGACUUUCAACAAUUGAUCUGAUGUUUUGAGAUGUAGAGAAACAGAAUAGACUUCAUAGAAGGCAAGAUGCCAACCAUUUUUGCCAUUUUACCAAGAACUAAUUUCAACUCUAAUACCAUAGCAUCCUAGCUCUACUAAAAUCCCACUUCCUAGAAAAAGUAACUACCUAGUAAUAACCAAGAAUAAAAAUUUACCUUGGAUCCAGUGUGUUUCAGAUAUACUCUAUGUCUAUGAAUGUGCUUAUAUUGAUGUUUAUUCAUCAAACCCUAAUAAGGGAAUAUUUUCCCUUCCUCAGAGUUUGAAGUCAAAAGUUUCAUCUAUAAAUUAUUAUUAGGACAUUCUUCGUUCAAUAGGGACAGGAAUUAACUAUUCAUAGUGUGUAUUUGUCAGUCUUUUUUUUUCCUGAGGGAUGGGGUUUAUAUAUUGCUUUGGUUUGGAUGUGAUUUGUCCCUAUCAAAACUUUUCUUAAAUUUUGAUCCCCUAUAUGGCAGUGUUAGGAUAUGGGGCCUAGCGGGAAGUGUUUGAGUAAUGGGGGAAAAAUCCCUCAUGAAUAGAUUAAUGCCAUCCCUCAGGAGUGAGUCCUUACUCUUGUGGACUGGAUUAGUUACCAAAAGAGCAGGUUGUUUCUUUUUGUCUUUGGUUCCUUUGCACACAUCUAUGUCCCCAUUCUCUUUCUGCCAUGAGUUAAAACAACACAAAACCCUCAUUAGGUGAGCUGCCAGGUCUUGCACUUUCCAGCCCCCAGAAGCAUGAGCAAAAUAUACCCUUUUUCUUUAUAAAUUACCCAGCCAUGGGUAUUCUGUUAUAGUAACACUAAACAGAUUGACAUAAAUAUCUUUUGUCUAUAAAGGUAAAAAUUCUCAAAAUUAUCACUUAGUCCUCCUGAUCUUUAAUGAUUUUGAAUACAAAAACACACAAAUGUAGAAAGUAUGUGUUGUUCAAUAUGCUUCCUAUGUAAAAUUCCUAAGAUGAAAUAUAAGCUAUCUUUUCUUUCAAUCAUCAAAACUGUCAUGGCAUACUAUGUGCCAGUUGCUAUAGAAGGCAUUUGUGAGAAAUGUAGAAAUGACAUUGUUCCUAUUCCACAAAAGCUUGAUGGUCUCGUGUGGGAGACAGACACAUAUAAAUAAUGACAAUCAAACAUGGCAGUUACUAUGACGGAGGUGGACACAAAAUGCUAUCUACAGGUAGCCCUUAGUUUGCACAAUAGUGUAGGGCCAUGAAAAUGACUGCAUGAUGAACUUAUGGAAAACAACCUACAAAACAAAACUACAAUUGAUCUGUGACCUUUACAUUUUCUCUCAAAACAUUAAAACUGUCUAUUAGUUCUAAACAUAUAAGAGAAUGAAAAAUAGUAAAAUCAAUAUUUCUUUAGUACACUGAAAGUUUAAAUAUUAGAAACUUUCAGAAUUAAAGUGUCUUCUUUUAUUAUUAAAAAAAAAAAACCUUAAGAGUAGUUUGAACAGUGUUUACCUGCUCAUUGUUACUGAGUUGCCACAUUCCCUUCUAAAGGGGAUCAGCUUCUAACACUUUACCUUUUAUGCUUCAGUGUCAAGAAAUAUCCCAAUAACUUUUUAAUGUAAAAUUUUUUUUGCCAAUUUCACACUUCUACAGGGACAUCUUCAUCCUUUCAU
ensembl:lncRNA